rnacentral:rRNA from 1 species
CACGUAGGGCGCGAGCGUUGUCCGGAAUUAUUGGGCGUAAAGAGCUCGUAGGCGGCCUGUUGCGUCCGCUGUGAAAGCCCGGGGCUUAACCCCGGGUCGGCAGUGGAUACGGGCAGGCUAGAGGUAGGUAAGGGAGAAUGGAAUUCCCGGUGUAGCGGUGAAAUGCGCAGAUAUCGGGAGGAACACCGGUGGCGAAGGCGGUUCUCUGGGCCUUACCUGACGCUGAGGAGCGAAAGCGUGGGGAGCGAACAGG